UUCCUACGGGAGGCAGCAGUGGGGAAUAUUGCACAAUGGGCGCAAGCCUGAUGCAGCCAUGCCGCGUGUAUGAAGAAGGCCUUCGGGUUGUAAAGUACUUUCAGUCGUGAGGAAGGGGGUAUCGUUAAUAGCGGUAUUCUUUGACGUUAGCGACAGAAGAAGCACCGGCUAACUCCGUGCCAGCAGCCGCGGUAAUACGGAGGGUGCGAGCGUUAAUCGGAAUUACUGGGCGUAAAGCGCAUGCAGGUGGUUUGUUAAGUCAGAUGUGAAAGCCCGGGGCUCAACCUCGGAGUUGCAUUUGAAACUGGCAGGCUAGAGUACUGUAGAGGGGGGUAGAAUUUCAGGUGUAGCGGUGAAAUGCGUAGAGAUCUGAAGGAAUACCGGUGGCGAAGGCGGCCCCCUGGACAGAUACUGACACUCAGAUGCGAAAGCGUGGGGAGCAAACAGGAUUAGAUACCCUGGUAGUCCA
rnacentral:rRNA from 1 species